rnacentral:rRNA from 1 species
GAUGAACGCUGGCGGCGUGCCUAAUACAUGCAAGUCGAGCGAACAGACGAGGCGCUUGCUCCUCUGACGUUAGCGGCGGACGGGUGAGUAACACGUGGAUAACCUACCUAUAAGACUGGGAUAACUUCGGGAAACCGGAGCUAAUACCGGAUAAUAUAUUGAACCGCAUGGUUCAAUAGUGAAAGACGGUUUUGCUGUCACUUAUAGAUGUAUCCGCGCCGCAUGAGCUAGUUGGUAAGGUAACGGCUUACCAAGGCGACGAUGCGUAGCCGACCUGAGAGGGUGAUCGGCCACACUGGAACUGAGACACGGUCCAGACACCUACGGGAGGCAGCAGUAGGGAAUCCUCCGCAAUGGGCGAAAGCCUGACGGAGCAACGCCGAGUGAGUGAUGAAGGUCUUCGGAUCGUAAAACUCUGUUAUUAGGGAAGAACAAAUGUGUAAGUAACUAUGCACGUCUUGACGGUACCUAAUCAGAAAGCCACGGCUAACUACGUG